GCAUAUCAAUAAGCGGAGGAAAAGAAACCAACAGGGAUUGCCUCAGUAACGGCGAGUGAAGCGGCAACAGCUCAAAUUUGAAAUCUGGCCCCCCGGCCCGAGUUGUAAUUUGCAGAGGAUGCUUCGGGCGCGGUGCCUUCCAAGUCCCCUGGAACGGGGCGCCGGAGAGGGUGAGAGCCCCGUACGGUUGGCGGCCAAGCCUGUGUGAAGCUCCUUCGACGAGUCGAGUAGUUUGGGAAUGCUGCUCUAAGCGGGAGGUAGACCCCUUCUAAAGCUAAAUAUAGGCCAGAGACCGAUAGCGCACAAGUAGAGUGAUCGAAAGAUGAAAAGCACUUUGAAAAGAGGGUUAAACAGCACGUGAAAUUGUUGAAAGGGAAGCGCUUGCGACCAGACGUGCGCCGGGGUGCUCAGCGGGCGUUCUCGCCCGUGCACUCGCCCCGGCGCAGGCCAGCGUCGGUUCGCGUGGGAGGAUAAAGGCGCCUGGAAUGUGGCUCCCUCGGGAGUGUUAUAGCCAGGCGUGCCAUGCUCCCCUGCGGACCGAGGUACGCGUUCUGCAAGGACGCUGGCGUAAUGGUCCCCAGCGACCCGU
rnacentral:rRNA from 4 species